UAACCCACCCCGUAUUAAUUUUAUUUAUAUUUUAAAUCUUUAAUUAUAGUACAAAUUUAUUUUUAGCUUUUAUAUUGGUCAAAAUUUGUUUUAUUAUUAUAUCAAUUAAUUAUAUGUCAUUCAAUUCGUCUCAUACUUGAUAAAUAUAUUGAAUUAUUUUUCAUAUUCUAAUUUAAAUAUGUAUAUUAAAGUAUGAAAUUAUUUAUUGGUUUAUAUAUAUUACUCUAAUAUUUUGUUUUAAUAAGUUAAAGUUGUUGUAAAAUUCAUGAAUAUAUGUUAUUCUUUAAUUUUUUAAUUUAUAAAAUAGUUAAUAGAUGGAUUAAGUUACUUUAUAUUUAUUAAUUGGGGUAGUAAUUUAAUUACGAAUAUAAAUUAUGUACAUAUAAAUAUCAUAGAAAUGUUAUUUCUUAUUCUGUAAAUAAAAAUAUAUUUAAUAUUCAUUGAUAAUUAUAGAUAUUAUUAAUUAUUAAUUUAAUUAUUGAAAAUUAAAU
rnacentral:lncRNA from 1 species